AUUGAACGCUGGCGGCAUGCCUUACACAUGCAAGUCGAACGGUAACAGGUUAAGCUGACGCGUGGCGAACGGGUGAGUCAUACAUCGGAACGUGCCCAGUAGUGGGGGAUAGCCCGGCGAAAGCCGGAUUAAUACCGCAUACGACCUAAGGGUGCAAGGGGGGGAUCGCAAGACCUCUCGCUAUUGGAGCGGCCGAUGUCAGAUUAGCUAGUUGGUGGGGUAAAAGCUCACCAAGGCGACGAUCUGUAGCUGGUCUGAGAGGACGACCAGCCACACUGGGACUGAGACACGGCCCAGACUCCUACGGGAGGCAGCAGUGGGGAAUUUUGGACAAUGGGCGCAAGCCUGAUCCAGCCAUGCCGCGUGCGGGAAGAAGGCCUUCGGGUUGUAAACCGCUUUUGUCAGGGAAGAAAUCCUUUGGGUUAAUACCUCGGGGGGAUGACGGUACCUGAAGAAUAAGCACCGGCUAACUACGUG
rnacentral:rRNA from 1 species